UGAAGCAUGAGUCCGUAUCCAAUAAUCAGAAGAUGAUGUCCAACUUAUGUUUUUCUAGGUACUUGCUUAACCACUAGGUGGCAGUGACGAUCAGGAGAGAAGUGCUGAAGCGCACAACUAGUAGUGAUUGCAAAUAGUCUGCAUUUAGUGCUUGAGCUCUUGAGUUGUAAUAGUGCUCUGCAGCAUUAGGACAUAGCCUUGGCGCUAUACGCCCUCUGAGCAUCAUUUCUACCAAAAGACGAUACUGCCUUCUCAAGAAAUUAUUGCAAGAGACCUGCACUAGAAGUACAUUGACAUUCAGGAGAGGUUUUGGAGCUGACGAGGACAACAUGAAUUGCUUCUGGAUACACACAAUUUGGAUCCCGGGGUUCUUUUUCUUCUUUGGAUUUCAAGUUGUCCGAUUUCGAGGAUCUGAGGGUGGAAGCUGUUGUCCUCAUCUUGAAGAAAAAUGGAGAACAAAAGGAGGUGCAGCACCUGGCCACCAGUGGAGAGCAACAGUUUGUCAUGCCAACUGGAGUUGUUGGUCUUUCCUUUGCAGGUAAAGCACUAUUGUUAAACAGAUUAAAAGCCAGACAGUGUGGUUGCUGUGUUUCUUGUUUUCCUAAGCAUAUUUCCCAUAAAUACCUCUUAUAAUAAUAAUAAUUAGGUGGGGACUUAUACUUGUCCUAUAUUAUGUCAGGUGUCAUUCUGCACCAUGUUCUUUUAAUUGUUCAUAGGAUUAAACACUACUGGGCCACAGGAGGGUGGGAGGAGCCCAGCAGAUCUAGUUCAGGUGGUUGAAGACGUCUACAAUUCUACAUGUAGUAUGUUUAUGUUUAAAGUGAUUUCCUUUCUCACAAUAGCAAACAGCAGAUACAUUUAGUCACAUAAAUAGAUUGCAGAUACAUGUAGUCACUUCAAUAAAUUACAGAUACAUGUGGUCACAUCAAUAGAUUGCAGAUACAUUAGUCACAUCAAUAGAGUACAGACAAAAUUUAAUUUUGUUGUUUAGUGUUACCUGUAGUGUAGUAUGUAACAUUUUAUGUUUGAAAUAUACAGUAUGUAUGUAUGUUAUCCAUGCCAAACUUUCUGUGAAUGUGGUGGAAAAAGUUGGUUCCCCUACCGCUCUUUUGAGGAGGGGACCAUCAUCAUUAGAUGUCUUGGUCAUGGAGUUAACCAUCAAGCGACCAUCAUCUUUUGGAAAGAAAUAGCCGGAAGACAUACUGGCAAAGGCAGAGGACUUCAAAUUUGAAAUUAGUAGGUGUAAAUUAAUUAUAUAAUUCUGUCUUGUUAUUGUUCAAUUUUCCAAUUAAAUUAUUACUAUUAACUGAAUAGAUAUUGUAGACUGGCCCAGCCCCUGAAAUGACUCUUAACUGUAAGCAAGAUGUUUUAUUGUGUGAAAAAUAAGUAAGGGUAGCGCUGCACAAUAAUAGACUUUUGUAGGUAAAGUUGCUCUUUUGGUAAAGGGGAUAAUGUCUCUCUCCCUCUCUGAUCAUGUGUAGAAUAACGGCAGUAAUGUCCUGUAACUUAUGGUUUCGUCUUGUUAUUCAAUAUUUGCAUUUAAUAUUAAUCUAUCAGAUCUUUCUUGAUAGCCUAUUAGUGUAACUAAACAAAAGUCCUUUUGCACAUUGCUCCAGUCCCCCACCCAGACGUGGCGAGGGCCAGCCGGGCCCCAGUGGACAUCCAGUGCCACCCUGACGUGGUGAGAAACAGUCUGUCCUCAGCGGACUUCCAGGGCACCACAGACCCCUUGUUGCAGCCACACCUUAUCAGCCGGAGGGUUUACAUUCUCCCCAAUCAUUUGAUUGCCAUUCUGAAACAACAUUGCAACUAGCGAAGACCCUAGAAGCAACAACAAAAACAGGGUUGUUGAUACCAAAAUGUUCAGUUAAGACCAAUCAUAUUUCAGCUACAUUACAGUAGGGGAGGUGUUGAGGGGGCGGAGCUACAAAGUAGUAGCGCAGGGAAAGGCUAUGGGCUGCUAUGAUGUAUAAUUAGCAAUUUGUUUCAGACCUUUGUGGUUGUUUCAGACCUUUGUGGUUUCUUCUAGGUAUCUUGCCUUGGAGACAUUUCUGGUGGGUCCACUUCUCUUCACUCAAAAGGCCACAUACAACACAUUUAGUCUCCGAUGUUUAUUGAAAACAAAUACAUUUGCACAAUGACCACUUGAAUUUUAGCCAUAUUUGCAUUGGCAUUAAAUCAGUCAAAACAUCUCAAAACCAGAGAUGGUAUCAAUAACAAGAUGAAAUGAGCCACUUACGAUUCCCCACAUACAGGUGUGGAAGAAACUAAUUACAACUACUCACGUUCCUGUAAUUGAGUAGCUUUUCUGUGUACUUGUACUUUUUUUGUAUUUUUCAAAGGCUGUACUUUUACUUUAGUACAUUUUGAAUGAAGUAAAGUACUUAAGUACAUUUUCAAAACCAUCCGUUACAGAGUACAGUCUAGAAAAAAAAUACACAUCAUGGGAUUUUUUGUUACAAAUUUAACCAGAACCAUGCAUAAUGCACAUUCACUAAUAAUGACUAACUUCUUGCAUUAGGCUACAGAAAUGAACACAGGUCUCCUAAACAAUCUCUCAAGCACAAGCCCACAUGCUAGUGAGAAGCCCGCUAAUCUUUAUACAUUUCAAGUUUAGCCAACUUGGAUCUAUUUGUUAGCUAACAAGGCAGAACAAUUAUCCUGUCCACUUUGUUCAGAUGUUGAAAUCAAAUCAUAGAAUGAGAACGAGUUGUCAGAGAGGAAGAAGUGAUCUCUCAUCUUUGUUGUUGUGAGUGGAAGGGUGAGGGGCUUGGUGUGUGUGUGUGUGUGUGUGUGCGCGUGAGCGUGUGUGUGUAAACCAGAGGAAGAGGCAAAGCUAGAGGUUUCACUCUCGCUAAAUUAUGUCCAAAAUAAAGCCAAUAUGCUUCUAUGGGCUAAUUUUGGACCUAAGCCUGUCGCCUGCUUUCCCGCCUUUGGGACAACGACUCCCAUUGUUAGGGCGGAAACGUGCAUUUUGUCAUUAAAUACAGCUCUCUGGUGUAAAUGGGAAGGUUCAGACAGCACAAAUGGAGCGAAGGAGACAAGACCAAACAUACGUGAGAACAAAUGGACAUAAACACUCCAAAAAAUAAAUACAUCGAUACAGGCAUUUGGAAUAUCGCGCGCAAAAAAAAAUCUAAUGAAUUCAAUAUAUCGCCCAGCCCUAAGCCAUGGUAGCCAAAAUAAUGGGCAACUGGGCAUUUUUAUACAUGACCCUAAGCAUGAUGGGAUGAUAAUUGCUUAAUUAUCUGAAGAACCACACCUGUAUGGAAGCACCUACUUUCAAUAUACUUUGUAUACUUCAUUUACUCGUGUUUCCUUUAUUUUGUCAGUUACAUGCAUAUUAAUGCUCUAAAGACUUGUCACAGAAGAUGUCACAGAAGAUGUCCCCUCGGAAUAGGAAAUGCUUUGUGACAGACAGCUAUGGAUUAACGUGUGUUCCGCAGGUGGCCUGGCUAUAUGUUCUAUGGCAGGGAGAUGAGUCAGCGACCGCUGUCCAUGGUGCUAAAACUAGCUAGACCCUACUGAUUCACACCAGCCUCAUGGCAGACCAUGUUUCUGUGUUUGGACAUGUUUUACAAUAGCCCUUUGACAAUGUCUGAUCAUGACCCCUUUCCUUUCAUUUACACCAUGUGAACACACGUCAAUGUUCCAUAGUCAAGUCAUUCCAUAGUCCUAUGUGUUGUCGUGUCUUGACUAUCAUUAAUGUGUUUGACUGUUAUUUAAAAAAAAAAAAUUAAAUACCACGUUCAGUUGUUACGCAAUUCAAUUAAUCAUAUAACAAUUAAGUAGUAAUCUGGUGCACCACGGGAAAAGUCAUUUAACAAGUUACUAUCUCUCCACUAAACUCUAAAGAUAUAAAUAUCUCUUACAUCAGUCACAGUCAAUUCUUAUUACCUCAUAUCAGUCUCAUUCUGAAUGUUGGAAAACUCUUGGAUAUCUGCAUGAACUCUAGCAUAAAUGAUGAAUCAGCGAUAUACAAAUUGGCUUAAUUAUUUAUUUACUAACUAACUAAUCACACAGAAUUACAUAAACACAAACAGGAUAGACUACACAUUGAUUACUACACAAUGCAAUGAAAAGUUCCUAGUGGACUAAACCGGUAUGACGGCUUGUUACACAAAAUGGCGGAUUCAAAAGAGAGGGAAAGGGAGAGACAAAGGAAUUCCACUAUCGUACAGACAACUGAUAACUAAGUUCAUGGAAAUGUGAAUACUUUGCACAUGAAUGGCCGCUCAUUCGAUAGAAUUGCAAUGUACAUAUUUACGUGUGUAUGUUUUUACUGUCUCUCAGUUGAAAACACUCGAUCCAUCUAAGAGGAGUAAUUCGACAGAAAGUCUCGAGUUGUCCAUGAAAGGUCACCAUGUCCUUUGUAGUUGUAGUAAGUUUCGGUGAGAACGGAUCCUCCAUAGGUCUACCCUGCAUUGUUCAGCGGGCUCUGUUCGUGACUAUAGUGGUGAGAGUAAAUUGUUCUUUGUUUUCAGUCGAGUUUACUAGGCUAAAGUACUUAAACAGCUGAAGACUGAAGGUUCCUGUGUAGUCUUCGAGAGAGAGAGUUUCAGAGUUUCUAACCAUUCAGUACCUUUCAGCUCACGCUGUCGGUCACGCUGGUCUAAUGUAGAGCUAGAACCAUUUUACACGCCCGUAGCAACCCGGCAAUGUACUGGUCUCUAGAGAUUUACAUUUUUUAACCAUUUGUAACGUAUUCAGCUGGCGCUGCACGUAACUGGUCUCCAUUUAAAUGGCAACCAUUUCAGCGUGUGGACUGCGUCUUCACGUUCUCUGGGCUAAUGUAAAUUUCAUUAGCGAGUCCUUUUAUAAACUCUGGCAAAAGGGGUGUUCCAUAACACCGACAUAAUGUCUGUGCUCAUGUGAGUGUGGUCACUGACUGGUUAAAACUUUUAUAUGAAAAACAAUUCUCAUUUUGAAGGCUAACAUCACAUUUCAUCUUCUCACAAAUAGUUUCAUAUUUAAUCAUAUAAGUUCCACAACAUUUAGAUGUAAUUCUUAUAACUGGGAAAUAUACACAUUCAGAGAUACAGUUAUGUUGUUAUACUGUCCUUAACCUCUCUGGGAUCGUUCGGGACGUGAGCCUCGCUAACAGCCAGUGAAAUUGCAGGGCGCUAAAUUCAAACAACAGAAAUCUCAUAAUAAAAAUUCCUCAAACAUACAAGUAUUAUACACCAUUUUAAAGAAACUUCUUGUUAAUCCAGCCACAGUGUCCGAUUUCAAGAAGGCUUUACGGCGAAAGCACACCAUGCGAUUAUGUUAGGUCAGCGCCUAGCCACAGAAAACCAUACAGCCAUUUUCCAAAGAAGGAGAGGUGUCAAAAGUCAGAAAUAGCGUGACAAUUAAUCACCUACCUUUGAUGAUCUUCACCGGAUGGCACUCCCAG
rnacentral:lncRNA from 8 species